rnacentral:lncRNA from 1 species
ACUUAACACCAAGAAACCAUAUCAACUUCUUUUUACUAUAACAAUAAAUCACAGUUAUAGUUCCAUUCGAAGAUUUCACAUUAAAAACAAACCCAUUACAGUGCCGUCAUCCUCUUCACAGGGAAACGCAGUCUACAGCACCGUUUGGGAGACUUGAAGCUGGCCAGGUUCUGACAGGCGAGCUAUCCCAGGAUCCCGGCUGAUUUCAUGAUCAUUCAGGUAUGGACCAACAACUUACUCAAAAUACAUCUUUCAGCAUGAGCUCAAAUCGUCUCUAUAGGCCUUUACACAGAAUCAGCUUUCAUUGUCUGGAAUUGGUGCAAGUUCGAAAGAGAAAUAUGAGCUCUUUUCAGCUCAUAUUACACUCUAAAACUCCUGUCCAUUUUCAUGUCAGGUUUAGGGCUGUAACAAUUCCGUGAGUACCUUGAUUACAAAAAAAGAUUGAGGAAUUUUCUCUGCCUUUAGAAGCUCAAAUCGUCACUGUUUCGCAUUGAUUAUUUUCAAGGUGACACAUCUCACUCCAGUAGCUCAUUAGCAAAGUCGUGAGCAGAGACAGUGCUGCUCUGCAUGCGCCUCUUCAUGCUAGCUUGCAGCUUAACAUUGACGGUAUAGUAGCAGAAGCAGGUAACAUAGAAGCUGUCCAGCUCUCGGACACUAAUGUCUUUAGGGACAUGAUGAAAGCUAAUAUCAUAAUUAGCUUUCUUACGAGCAUUGCAAUCCGCUAACGCACAAGCUUGUUCUGUGUUCCUUGUUCAUUAUUAAGUUAAAUGUGGUGAGACGCCUCCUCAUCCUGUUUUAUUUUGGCUGGACUUCCUGUUUUUCCCUGUUUGCCUGGUCUGGCUGUACUCUUUUCCAGAGCUUCCUCCCCUCCCCCGGUGCUGAGGCUGAGUGAGACGACACACCUGCUCCUCAUUUCCAAUUAAGGGACUUUAAGAAGCCUGCAGCCCUCAGUCUCAGCGCCUGAGUAUUGUCUACCCUUCCUAGCGGUACAGACGUGUCUCCUGGCCUUCCUCGUGGUAUAAUCUUCAGAACUUUGCUCCCAGUGACUAUUUUCAUGUUUAUUAACUCCUGUCUCCUCUGGUUUUUUCCUGCAGUGUCUCCAGCCCACACGCCAGCCAGCCAACCAGCCCUUCGGACUUCCUCUGUUUGCACUAUCUCCCCUUUUUUGGACAUUAAAAGUCUCUUUAAGUUGAUCUCAGUCUCUGUGUCUGCAUCUGGGUCCUCACCACGAACCUGCCUCACAACAGAAUACUCAGGCCUGGAAAAUGGACCCAGCAGACCUAGACAGAGUUCAGCUAGCCGUCCAGAAGCUCGGCAUGCGGCUUGGCCAACAUGAGGAUAUGCUCCAGAGUCUCUACCAGUCAGUUCAUGGCCUCUCCGUUCAAAUGUCGCAGCUGGCUGAGCAACGACUCCCUCGGCCUCCACCGCAGCAAACAGGAUCUCCCCCCUCUGUGAGUACGCUCCCCUCUUCGCCUCCUCCACCACCCACUAUCCUCAAAGAGCCCUAUGUCCCUCCUCCUGAGCCGUAUGCUGGGGAGAUUGGGGGCUGCAGAGGUUUCCUACUCCGAUGCGCCUUAGUGUUUGACCAACAGCCCAUUAGUUACCCCUCAGAUCGAGCUAAGAUCGCCUACACCAUCAAUUUGUUAAGAGGUAGGGCCGCGAAGUGGGCUACGGCCGUCUGGGAUAGGGACUCACCUCUGUUCGCCUCUUACGCCCGUUUUUCAGAAGAGCUCCGUAGAAUAUUUGAUUUUCCAGUCGAGGGCCCAGAGCGCACCAAACGGUUGUUUUCCCUCACCCAGAGCUCUCGGUCAGUGGCGGAUUACUCCAUUGAGUUCCGUACAGUGGCGGCCGAGAGUGGGUGGGGGGAACUCGAGUUAAAAGAGGCAUUCACUCGGGGUCUCUCAGAACAUUUGAAAGACGAGCUAGCGGCUCGAGAUGAGCCUUCCUCCCUUGAGGAGCUAAUAGCGUUCGCUAUUCGUAUAGAUAAUCGCCUCAGGGAGAGACGGAGGGAGAAGGAAAUCCAUUCCCUGGUCCCUAGAAUAGACUCCCCUUCCUCUGUUGCAGUCAGCGGGUCUCCUCUGCAGCCCUCAGCUCCUCUGGCUCCGACGCCCUCCACUGGAGAACCCAUGCAAAUCAGCCACACCUCCUCUACCUCCAGCUCCCCCAGGCGUAUCACAGUCCCUGCCUGUCUCCUUUGGGGAAAGGAAUCCACUUCCCUCCAAACCCUCAUUGACUCUGGGGCGGACGAUAACUUCAUUCACACCGGACUGGCAGCGCGGCUUCAGCUCCCCCUGGAGGAACUCCCGGUUCCCCGUAAGGUCACCGCUCUCGAUGGCAGAGUAAUAGCCUCCAUUACACACCGCACUGCUCCCCUCACCCUCAUCCUCUCCGGUAACCAUCGGGAGGACAUCCGGCUGUUCCUGCUUCCCUCUCCUCACUCUCCCCUGGUACUGGGACUCCCUUGGCUGCAAAUCCACAACCCUCAGAUUAACUGGUCCACAUCUUCAAUCUCCGCCUGGAGCCCUCACUGUCACUCCCACUGCCUCCGCUCCGCCAAUCCCUACAUCCACCGACAGAGGUCAGCAUCUCCACCGCCAUCUCUCACCUCGGUUCCCCCCGUUUACCAUGACCUGGCAAUGGUGUUCAGUAAGGAGCAGUCUCUUGUCCUUCCUCCUCAUCGCCCCUAUGACUGCGCCAUAGACCUGCUCCCUGGCGCACCUCUUCCCAGUAGUAGACUAUACAACCUCUCUCGGCCCGAACGAGAGGCCAUGGAGGAAUACAUUCAAGACUCCCUGACCUCUGGACUCAUCCGACCCUCAUCUUCUCCCCUUGCUGCUGGCUUCUUCUUCGUGAAGAAAAAAGAUUCCUCUCUCCGUCCCUGCAUUGACUUCCGUGGAUUAAAUGACAUCACCAUUAAAAACAAAUAUCCCCUGCCACUCAUUGAUCCCUCCUUCGAACCUCUCUGUCAAGCCACCAUCUUCUCAAAACUGGACCUCCGGAAUGCCUAUCACCUGGUUCGCAUCCGGGAGGGGGAUGAGUGGAAGACUGCCUUUAACACACCCAUGGGCCACUUCGAAUACCUGGUUAUCCCCUUUGGCCUCACCAACGCCCCUGCUGUGUUCCAGACCCUCAUUAAUGAUGUCCUCCGUGACAUGAUUACCAAGUUCGCCUUUGUCUACUUGGACGAUAUCCUGAUUUUCUCCUGAAACCUGGAGGAACACCAGCAGCACGUCCGACUCGUCCUUCAGCGCCUCCUCGAAAACCGCCUUUUCGUGAAGCCCGAAAAGUGCAGGUUCCACGCCUCCUCCGUCAGUUUCCUUGGCUACAUCAUCGCCCAGGGGGAGCUACGCCCAGACCCAGAAAAGAUCUGUGCUGUCCGUGACUGGCCCACUCCCUCCUCCCGCAAAGACCUCCAGCGAUUCCUCGGCUUCGCUAAUUUCUAUCGACGGUUCAUUAAAAACUACAGUAAGGUGGCAGUUCCCCUCACCCGGCUCACAUCCCUCAAGGUUCCAUUCUCCUGGACCCCCGAAGCAGACGCCACCUUUCAUCAUCUCAAAUCCCUCUUCAUCUCCACCCCGGUGCUCAAACACCCAGAUCCCUCGCUUCAGUUCGUGGUGGAGGUCGACGCUUCGGACUCUGGAGUAGGGGCCGUCCUCUCACAGAGGGACUCUCAGACCCAGAAGCUUCAUCCUUGCGCCUUUUUCUCCCGGAAACUCUCAGCCACGGAACAAAAUUAUGACGUGGGAAACCGUGAAUUACUGGCUGUCGUGUGGGCACUGCAAGAAUGGAGACACUGGCUGGAAGGAGCACCCCAACCGUUUCUAAUCUGGACAGACCACAAGAACCUGCAAUACCUCCGCUCCGCUCGUCGCCUCAACCCCAGGCAAGCCCGCUGGUCCCUUUUCCUUAGCAGAUUCAAUUUCACCCUCUCCUAUCGUCCCGGCUCCCGCAACCUCAAACCAGACGCCCUCUCUCGGAUCCACGCCUCGGAUACCCCGGACUCCCGUGAACCAGACACCAUCCUCCCCGCCUCCUGUGUCAUUGGCUCCGCCACCUGGGAGAUCGAUACCAUCGUGGACCAGGCCCUCCGGAACCACCCAGACCCUGGAACCGGCCCGCCGGACAGAAAGUUCGUCCCUGAGGUCGCACGUUCUCAGGUCCUACAGUGGGGGCACUCCUCCAAGCUCACCUGCCACCCCGGGUUUCAACGCACCCUCCAAUUCCUCCAGCAGCGGUUCUGGUGGCCGGGGAUGGUCCGGGACGUACGGGCGUUUGUUGCUGCCUGCUCCGUCUGUGCCCGAAGCAAAGCCUCCCACCAACCUCCGGCUGGCUUGCUGCGUCCUCUGCCUGUGCCUUCACGCCCCUGGUCCCACAUAGCCUUAGAUUUCGUCACUGGUCUCCCUCCCUCUGAAG